CUGCGGAAGGAUCAUUACCGAGUGAGGGCCCUCUGGGUCCAACCUCCCACCCGUGUUUAUUUUACCUUGUUGCUUCGGCGAGCCUGCCUUUUGGCUGCCGGGGGACGUCUGUCCCCGGGUCCGCGCUCGCCGAAGACACCUUAGAACUCUGUCUGAAGAUUGUAGUCUGAGAUUAAAUAUAAAUUAUUUAAAACUUUCAACAACGGAUCUCUUGGUUCCGGCAUCGAUGAAGAACGCAGCGAAAUGCGAUACGUAAUGUGAAUUGCAGAAUUCAGUGAAUCAUCGAGUCUUUGAACGCACAUUGCGCCCUCUGGUAUUCCGGAGGGCAUGCCUGUCCGAGCGUCAUUGCUGCCCUCAAGCACGGCUUGUGUGUUGGGCUCCGUCCUCCUUCCGGGGGACGGGCCCGAAAGGCAGCGGCGGCACCGCGUCCGGUCCUCAAGCGUAUGGGGCUUUGUCACCCGCUUUGUAGGACUGGCCGGCGCCUGCCGAUCAACCAAACUUUUUUCCAGGUUGACCUCGGAUCAGGUAGGGAUACCCGCUGAACUUAAGCAUAUCAAUAAGCGGAGGAAAAGAAACCAACAGGGAUUGCCCCAGUAACGGCGAGUGAAGCGGCAAGAGCUCAAAUUUGAAAGCUGGCUCCUUCGGGGUCCGCAUUGUAAUUUGCAGAGGAUGCUUCGGGAGCGGUCCCCAUCUAAGUGCCCUGGAACGGGACGUCAUAGAGGGUGAGAA
rnacentral:rRNA from 1 species